UGCAAUGAUGAGGUUAUUGAAUAAUCUCGUUAAUCUGAUUAUUGCUGUGGAAGAUUUCUCUAUCCAUUCUUAAUCCACUGAGC
rfam:Capsicum annuum cultivar Zunla-1 chromosome 1, whole genome shotgun sequence